AUUGAACGCUGGCGGAAUGCUUUACACAUGCAAGUCGAGCGGCAGCGCGGCCUUCGGGCUGGCGGCGAGCGGCGAACGGGUGAGUAAUGCAUCGGAACAUGCCCAGUCGUGGGGGAUAACACUUCGAAAGAAGUGCUAAUACCGCAUACGUCCUGAGGGGGAAAGCGGGGGAUCGCAAGACCUCGCGCGAUUGGAGUGGCCGAUGUCAGAUUAGCUAGUUGGUGGGGUAAAGGCCUACCAAGGCGACGAUCUGUAGCUGGUCUGAGAGGAUGAUCAGCCACACUGGGACUGAGACACGGCCCAGACUCCUACGGGAGGCAGCAGUGGGGAAUUUUGGACAAUGGGGGCAACCCUGAUCCAGCCAUUCCGCGUGAGUGAAGAAGGCCUUCGGGUUGUAAAGCUCUUUCGGCAGGAACGAAACGGUGGGUUCUAACAUAGUCCGCUAAUGACGGUACCUGAAGAAGAAGCACCGGCUAACUACGUG
rnacentral:rRNA from 1 species